UGGAAAACUGAGGAAGUCACAGCAUGGUCUCCAUCUUAUUCAGCAACCAUAAGAAAUAUGGAUGUCUGCUGCUGGAAGCCAGAAAGCUAUUAUAUCUUUAGCUUUUGCUGUGACAGACAGAGGACACAGGAGAUUCAAGAGAUGUCAAAGAGCAUAGGAGGCCCAGUGCUGAUUCAGAAGCCACCCAGGCAGAGAGAUUAACCCAUCAGUUCCCUAGCUAGUCACGUGACAUCAUCCUAUGUGCCCCUGUCUACUCUUUAGCCGUAUACUAUAACAAGAGACAGGAUGAGCUACUAUCUAUAUCAGGUGUUUAAAGGUAACCACCAAGAUGGACAUUAGUAUGUACUAUAAGUAUUAUGUGAUCAAUCUUUACAGGACAUUUAUACCUACUUAAAUACAUUUGCAAAAGGAUCUCAGAAUAGUUCAAAAUCAGCCUGGCAGCAGAAACAAUAUUCAUUUUCAUACCCAUCGUGAUGGGAAGUACAAUGGAGUUGUAAUUCCUUUAGCACAACAUAUGACUAACCUAGCUUGUCAGCAGAUGGAUAACACAAAUGUCAGAUUCAGGCGCUGCUGCUACUGCUAUGACAAUUGCGAGCCUUGUUUUACUCUAGAUGACAACAUCACAAGUGUAGAUAUGCUGUCUCAGAGAUGGUCUUCUGACAGUGGUCUAAUAUCACCCUGAAAUCAGCAAUGUCUCCUCUGGAGCACGUAAAACUCGGAGCUAUAACCAGAUCUGUGUGAGAUUUACUCUACUAAAAUUUACCUCGACACCAGCCAUGAGAAUGUUUAAAUGGCCAGAAUCUACCUGGCACCAGACUUUCCU